CUCCUGGAAACGGGUGGUAAUGCCGGAUGUUCCAGUUGAUCGCAUGGUCUUCUGGGAAAGCUUUCGCGGUAUGGGAUGGGGUCGCGUCCUAUCAGCUUGACGGCGGGGUAACGGCCCACCGUGGCUUCGACGGGUAGCCGGCCUGAGAGGGCGACCGGCCACAUUGGGACUGAGAUACGGCCCAGACUCCUACGGGAGGCAGCAGUGGGGAAUAUUGCACAAUGGGCGCAAGCCUGAUGCAGCGACGCCGCGUGAGGGAUGGAGGCCUUCGGGUUGUAAACCUCUUUUAUCGGGGAGCAAGCGUGAGUGAGUUUACCCGUUGAAUAAGCACCGGCUAACUACGUGCCAGCAGCCGCGGUAAUACGUAGGGUGCAAGCGUUAUCCGGAAUUAUUGGGCGUAAAGGGCUCGUAGGCGGUUCGUCGCGUCCGGUGUGAAAGUCCAUCGCUUAACGGUGGAUCCGCGCCGGGUACGGGCGGGCUUUGAGUGCGGAAGGGGACACUGGAAUUCCUGGGGUAACGUGGGAAGGUGUAGAUUUCUCCAUCAAUGCCA
rnacentral:rRNA from 1 species